rnacentral:rRNA from 1 species
UACGAAGGGGGCUAGCGUUGCUCGGAAUUACUGGGCGUAAAGGGCGCGUAGGCGGACAGUUUAGUCAGAGGUGAAAGCCCAGGGCUCAACCUUGGAACUGCCUUUGAUACUGACUGUCUUGAGUUCGGGAGAGGUGAGUGGAAUGCCGAGUGUAGAGGUGAAAUUCGUAGAUAUUCGGCGGAACACCAGUGGCGAAGGCGGGUCUCUGGGCCGAUACUGACGCUGAGGAGCGAAAGCGUGGGGAGCGAACAGG